UACGAAGGGGGCUAGCGUUGCUCGGAAUCACUGGGCGUAAAGGGUGCGUAGGCGGGUUUUUAAGUCAGGGGUGAAAUCCUGGAGCUCAACUCCAGAACUGCCUUUGAUACUGAAGAUCUUGAGUCCGGGAGAGGUGAGUGGAACUGCGAGUGUAGAGGUGAAAUUCGUAGAUAUUCGCAAGAACACCAGUGGCGAAGGCGGCUGACUGGUCCGGUUCUGACGCUGAGGCGCGAAGGCGUGGGGAGCAAACAGG
rnacentral:rRNA from 1 species